GCCUCUGUAGCUUAGUGGUAUAGCAUCAGAUUCGUAUUCAAAUGUAGAAGAAAUAUCUGAAGGUCGGGGGUUCAAUUCCCCCCAGAGGCUC
rnacentral:tRNA from 1 species